GCCGCCUAGGCAGUAUUGUGGAUAUGGCCCUCGGCUUGUAACCGAGUGGGCUCGGGUUCGAAACCCGCAACA